rnacentral:rRNA from 1 species
GACGAACCGUGCGAACGUUAUUCGGAAUCACUGGGCUUAAAGCGCGUGUAGGCGGGACGGCACGUCGGUCGCUGAAAGCCCCCGGCUCAACCGGGGAACGGGCGCCGAUACGACCGUCCUCGAGGGACGUAGGGGGACCUGGAACUUCCGGUGGAGCGGUGAAAUGCGUUGAGAUCGGAAGGAACGCCCGUGGCGAAAGCGAGGUCCUGGACGUUUACUGACGCUGAGACGCGAAAGCCAGGGGAGCGAACGGG